rnacentral:rRNA from 1 species
GAUGAACGCUAGCGGCAGGCCUAAUACAUGCAAGUCGAACGGGAUCCAGAUCAAAGCUUGCUUUGGUCUGGUGAGAGUGGCGCACGGGUGCGUAACGCGUGAGCAACCUACCCUUGUCAGGGGGAUAGCCCGGCGAAAGUCGGAUUAAUACCGCAUGACAUCAUUGAGAGGCAUCUUUCGACGAUCAAAGAUUUAUCGGACAAGGAUGGGCUCGCGUGACAUUAGCUAGUUGGUAAGGUAACGGCUUACCAAGGCUGCGAUGUCUAGGGGCUCUGAGAGGAGAAUCCCCCACACUGGUACUGAGACACGGACCAGACUCCUACGGGAGGCAGCAGUAAGGAAUAUUGGUCAAUGGACGGAAGUCUGAACCAGCCAUGCCGCGUGCAGGAAGACGGCCCUAUGGGUUGUAAACUGCUUUUAUACGGGAACAAACGUCGGUACGUGUACCGGUCUGAGUGUACCGUAAGAAUAAGGAUCGGCUAACUCCGUG